CAGCAGCCGCCGCGGGAAUACAGAGGGUGCGAGCGUUAAUCGGAUUUACUGGGCGUAAAGCGUGCGUAGGCGGCUAAUUGAGUCGGAUGUGAAAUCCCCGAGCUUAACUUGGGAAUUGCAUUCGAUACUGGUUAGCUAGAGUGUGGGAGAGGAUGGUAGAAUUCCAGGUGUAGCGGUGAAAUGCGUAGAGAUCUGGAGGAAUACCGAUGGCGAAGGCAGCCAUCUGGCCUAACACUGACGCUGAGGUACGAAAGCAUGGGGAGCAAACAGGAUUAGAUACCCCUGUAGUCCCUGUCUCUUAUAC
rnacentral:rRNA from 1 species